rnacentral:rRNA from 1 species
CGAACGGUAGCAAGGAAGUGCUUGCACUUUGCUGACGAGUGGCGGACGGGUGAGUAAUGCUUGGGAACUUGCCUUUGCGAGGGGGAUAACAGUUGGAAACGACUGCUAAUACCGCAUAAUGUCUACGGACCAAACGGGGCUUAGGCUUCGGCGCAGAGAGAGGCCCAAGUGAGAUUAGCUAGUUGGUGGGGUAAAGGCUCACCAAGGCGACGAUCUCUAGCUGUUCUGAGAGGAAGAUCAGCCACACUGGGACUGAGACACGGCCCAGACUCCUACGGGAGGCAGCAGUGGGGAAUAUUGCACAAUGGGGGGAACCCUGAUGCAGCCAUGCCGCGUGUGUGAAGAAGGCCUUCGGGUUGUAAAGCACUUUCAGUUGUGAGGAAAAGUGAGUAGUUAAUACCUGCUCACCGUGACGUUAACAACAGAAGAAGCACCGGCUAACUCCGUGCCAGCAGCCGCGGUAAUACGGAGGGUGCGAGCGUUAAUCGGAAUUACUGGGCGUAAAGCGCACGCAGGCGGUUUGUUAAGCUAGAUGUGAAAGCCCCGAGCUCAACUUGGGAUGGUCAUUUAGAACUGGCAGACUAGAGUCUUGGAGAGGGGAGUGGAAUUCCAGGUGUAGCGGUGAAAUGCGUAGAUAUCUGGAGGAACAUCAGUGGCGAAGGCGACUCCCUGGCCAAAGACUGACGCUCAUGUGCGAAAGUGUGGGUAGCGAACAGGAUUAGAUACCCUGGUAGUCCACACCGUAAACGCUGUCUACUAGCUGUUUGUGGCUUUAAGCCGUGAGUAGCGAAGCUAACGCGAUAAGUAGACCGCCUGGGGAGUACGGCCGCAAGGUUAAAACUCAAAUGAAUUGACGGGGGCCCGCACAAGCGGUGGAGCAUGUGGUUUAAUUCGAUGCAACGCGAAGAACCUUACCUACACUUGACAUGCAGAGAACUU